UACGUAGGGGGCAAGCGUUGUCCGGAUUUAUUGGGCGUAAAGAGCGUGUAGGCGGCCAUACAGGUCAGCUGUGAAAACUCGAGGCUCAACCUCGAGACGUCGGUUGAAACCGUAUGGCUAGAGUCCGGAAGAGGAGAGUGGAAUUCCCGGUGUAGCGGUGAAAUGCGCAGAUAUCGGGAGGAACACCGGUGGCGAAGGCGGGUCUCUGGGCAAUAACUGACGCUGAGGAGCGAAAGCGUGGGGAGCGAACAGG
rnacentral:rRNA from 1 species